CAGCAGCCACGGGAAUACGAAGGGUGCAAGCGUUAAUCGGAAUUACUGGGCGUAAAGCGCGCGUAGGUGGUUUGGUAAGAUGGAUGUGAAAUCCCCGGGCUCAACCUGGGAACUGCAUCCAUAACUGCCUGACUAGAGUACGGUAGAGGGUGGUGGAAUUUCCUGUGUAGCGGUGAAAUGCGUAGAUAUAGGAAGGAACACCAGUGGCGAAGGCGACCACCUGGACUGAUACUGACACUGAGGUGCGAAAGCGUGGGGAGCAAACAGGAUUAGAUACCCGAGUAGUCCCUGUCUCUUAUAC
rnacentral:rRNA from 1 species